GGGGCUGUAGCUCAGUUUGGGAGAGCGCUUGAAUGGCAUUCAAGAGGUCGUCGGUUCGAUCCCGAUCAGCUCCA
rnacentral:tRNA from 2 species